rfam:Myotis lucifugus cont2.31394, whole genome shotgun sequence.
GGUGGUUCUCGGGUGACGCACCCCGGAAUCGGGCUCCCUCCUCUCUGGUUCCGGGUGCGUUAUCCAAGAACCGCA